GACAACGAAUUGGCCUGUUACAAAGAAGUAAGUGAGGAUCUAACCUGUACCUGGCUGCCAGCACCCAGUGCUCCAAAUAAUUACACCUUAUUCUUAAAAUGGGAGAGAAUCACAAAACUUUUUAGAAGAAAUACAUCAUCACCUUCCAUCACAAUAGAACGAAAAAAUCUCUUCAUGAACCGUUCUGCAUCUAUCUGGAUAGCAGUGAACUAUGCCCAUGCCAGCUGUGUGAAAGGAAAGAACAUCUCAGUUACACCAAGAAAAGCAGGGAAGUGUUUGACACCAUCUAACAUAACAGCUCAUCAGAUCACAAAGCAAUUGGUCAUAAAAUGGAACUUAACCACAACUCCUACAGAAUAUGAGUUGAGAUACAGAGAGGCACUGACAGAAGACACUCAGUGGACAAGGGUGCCCAUAGAAAGCAAUGCUGUCAACAUCACUGUUUCAAAUGCUACAUCUUCAUAUAUCAUUCAGCUCAGAUGUAUAACCAAGGAUGGUCUUCACUGUGUUUGCAUUUGGAGUAGAGAGAUUUUGGUUCCUCACAAGCUCAUGAACAAGCCAAGAAUAUCAUAUAAUGCAACUACAGAAAUAUCACCAGGC
rnacentral:lncRNA from 1 species